rnacentral:tRNA from 1 species
GCCCUGGUGCUGGAAUUGGUAUACAGGCAUGAUUCAGGAUCAUGUGUUCGCAAGGACGUGAGAGUUCAAGUCUCUCCCAGGGCA